rnacentral:lncRNA from 1 species
AGAAUUAGCCCAAUGUGAAGAAGGAAAUACAAAACUCAGGCAAAAAUUUGAGUUUGUAAAACAAGAACUGGAGAAAAAGGAUAAACAGAUCAGCGAUGAAGAAGAUCAUUUGAGAAGGAUGGACAAGGCAAGACUGCAGUUUAAGGUUCAGCUGCAUCAUUUAGAAAUGGAAAAGGAAUCCAUUCUCACCAUGAUAGGAACUGAAAUUGAUGCUGCUUGUGAGAUUUUUUCUCGGGAUUCCAUGGAGAAAUUCAAAGCAAUAUCACUUACACCGACAGUGCUGAAUGAUCCUCAUCGCUGGUUAG